UGGUAUGGAGGGGAAUGUACUGAAGUAAGCCACAUGGUCCAUAGGCCCAAGCCUCCUAUCCAUCGACCCGGAACCAUGGUUUUGUUGCGCGAAGAAACUCCUAGGUCAUGUUCAGCAUACGAAUUCUCAACUCCAACAUUCUUCCAUCGGCGCAUUCGAACGAAUCCAAGAAUCGCUGGCUCAAAGCUCAAACGAAGAUGUCUUUUUCUUGUACUUCAACGUCAUGCUGAAAACGCAGAAGCAUCUCAAACGCACCUCUUUCCCCAAUACACGAUCUUAGGUCAGAAGCAAAUGUCCACUCGCAGUGCAACUUCAAGUUCGAGGCACAGAAAACUCAAGCUUCGAAUUCGCAUGGACAUAUAUGGAUAUCAACGAGUAAAGAUGGAUACGAUUCCUUAGUUACGAAGAAUCAAGAAAACACCGAUGAAUCCGCAUCCCACCUCAUCACCAAAAUCGGAUUCGAUCGAGGUUGUGCGUGAAGAGAAAUUGAAGGAGGGAAAUACUCACUGAUUUCACUUUUCGGGUUAUUGCUCACUUUGUUAUGAUGAAGAUUAAAAACGAAGCAUUGGAAGAUGGUAAUGGAUCACGAAGAGCGAGGUUCUUUUCCUUCGGAAAAAAAACUGUGUUGGUGAAGCUUAUGGUUGUGAUGGAAUUGCAACUGGUUUUCGAGAGGUUGUGGUUGAAUGGAGGGUGAAGAAGGUGUUGUUGGGUUGUUGAGGGUGAGGUUCGUGUAGGGGAGAUUGAAGAGGUUGUUAUGGGUGAAGAAGAGGGUGGAGUGUGUAUUCGUUAGAGGUUUUCUUUCUUCUGUUAUGUGGUGGGUGAAGCAGUUAGAAUGAGAGAUCCCGAAGAAGAAGUUGCAGGGUUCUUAGAGAGUGAAGUUAUAUUGAGUUUUGGCUAAUGGUUGAAGGGAGGAUGGAUGUGAGAAGAAGUUGUUAACCUAUUUUUUCCAUUCUGUUACCGGUUACCGUUUUUCUGUUGAAGUAGUUAGAGGAGUUAGCUGUUUGUUGGAGAGUAUGGGAGGUUGUAUUGAAUUGGUUGGAGAAGUUUUGAAUUUCUAUUUGAAGGUUUUUUGUUGAAGAGGUUGUUGAAUACCGAAGGCUUGAGAGAGUAGGCUUCUGUUAUGAGAUUCAGUUAGGAAUCGGUUUCCGUUCUGUUAUCGGUUGCAUUUUGGUUACAACUUUCUUUGACAAUUGGAAUUGUAGGUUAGGAAAACUUGUUAGAGUUUGUUGACAGUUGUGAGGGUGGUUCAAAUUCGGUUAGAGCCACUCGAAUUCAAUUAUGGGAUUUGUUGGAUAGUUGGAGAUGAAAUUUUAUGGAAGCUCAUUCUGUUGUGUGAAUCUGCUACGGUUUCUUUUAUCGGUUAUUUCUGUUAUGGAUUUGGAGUUUGUUAUAGGUUUUGUUUGAAUUUCUGUUAAAAUGUUCUUUUGAAAUUUGUAACUGAUUCUCUUCUUUUUU